GCUAAAAAUCUAGCUCUUCUUAUUCUUAUGAAUACCCCACCUUUUAACCAAUAAAUAAAUCAUUUUUUACAUAAAGUAAAGGCGAUAGAAAAAUGCCUAGAAGCUAUAGAAAACAGUACCGCAAGGGAAAGAUGAAAUAUUAAUGAAAAAUUGCAAGCACCAAAAAGCAGAGCUGCAACCUCGUACCUUUUGCAUCAUGGUCUAACUAGUCUAACCAAGCAAAAUGCAUUUUUAGUUUGACCCCCCGAAACUAGGUGAGCUACUUAAAAACAGCCAUUAGGGCCAACCCGUCUCUGUUGCAAAAGAGUGGGAAGAUUUUUAAGUAGGGGUGACAGACCUAUCGAACCUAGAGAUAGCUGGUUAUUUAGGAAAAGGAUUUAAGUCCUACCUUAAAAUUUUUAUACCCCAUCAAGUAUUUUCCAGAUUUUAAGAGCUAUUCAAAUAAGGUACAGCCUAUUUGAAACAGGAUACAACCUCAAUCAAUGGGUAACAAAGUGUUUCCUCAACUAAGUGGGCCUAAGAGCAGCCACCUUUAAAAAAGCGUUAAAGCUUCAUUGUUUAAUUAAAAAAUUCCAUUAACUACAUAAAACCCUUAACUCUGUACUAAAUAAUUUUAUAACUGUAUAAAAGCCCGUAUGUUGGAACUAGUAACAAGAAGAAAUCCUUCUCCAAAAUGUAAGCAUAAGCCAGAAUGAACCCCUCACUGGCAAUUAAAGUCAAUAAAACCCUAGAAGUAACUUAUCAAGAAAACCCUUCUACUGUAAACGUUAACCUUACACCAGCACAUUUCUGGAAAGAAAAAAAGAGGGGGAAGGAACUCGGCAAAUAAUUUAACCCCGCCUGUUUACCAAAAACAUCGCCUCUUGCUAACUAUAAGAGGUCCAGCCUGCCCAGUGACAAAGUUAAACGGCCGCGGUACCCUAACCGUGCAAAGGUAGCGCAAUCACUUGUUCUUUAAAUGAGGACUAGUAUGAACGGCAUCACGAGGGUUAUACUGUCUCCCCCCUUUUUUCAGUGAAACUGAUCUUCCCGUGAAGAAGCGGGAAUAUUAAUAUAAGACGAGAAGACCCCAUGGAGCUUUAAACUCAGAAUCAACUGCCACAAACUUAACUUAAUAACUAUGCAGGAAUGACUUCUAGUUUUCGGUUGGGGUGACCGCGGAGUAAAAUAAAACCUCCACGACGAAAGGAACUAACCACCUAAACCAAGAGCCACAGCUCUAAGUAUUAAAACAUUAACCUAAUUGAUCCAAUUACUUGAUCAACGAACCAAGUUACCCUGGGGAUAACAGCGCAAUCCAUUUCAAGAGCUCAUAUCGACAAAUGGGUUUACGACCUCGAUGUUGGAUCAGGAUAUCCAAGUGGCGCAGCCGCUACUAACGGUUCGUUUGUUCAACGAUUA
rnacentral:rRNA from 1 species